rnacentral:rRNA from 1 species
GAGGAAAGAGGGAGGCGGGAGGAACACAUGCAAGUCGAACGAAGCACUUUAACCUGAUUCUUCGGAUGAAGGUUUUUGUGACUGAGUGGCGGACGGGUGAGUAACGCGUGGGUAACCUGCCUCAUACAGGGGGAUAACAGUUAGAAAUGACUGCUAAUACCGCAUAAGACCACAGAGCCGCAUGGCUCGGUGGGAAAAACUCCGGUGGUAUGAGAUGGACCCGCGUCUGAUUAGGUAGUUGGUGGGGUAACGGCCUACCAAGCCAACGAUCAGUAGCCGACAUGAGAGGGUGACCGGCCACAUUGGGACUGAGACACGGCCCAAACUCCUACGGGAGGCAGCAGUGGGGAAUAUUGCACAAUGGGGGAAACCCUGAUGCAGCGACGCCGCGUGAGCGAAGAAGUAUUUCGGUAUGUAAAGCUCUAUCAGCAGGGAAGAAAAUGACGGUACCUGACUAAGAAGCACCGGCUAAAUACGUG